CAAUAGGAUGAAUCGGCACUGGGCUCCGACAGUCUCGACAAGAUCGAGCUGGUUUGUGACAGGAGAUGCCUCUUUGCGGCAAGACUUAGAAAACCUCGCCCACUGAAC
rfam:Pseudogymnoascus sp. 24MN13 contig_802, whole genome shotgun sequence.